UUGAGCCGUACGAGAUGAAAUUCUCAUAUACGGUUCUCAGGGGGGGGGGGGGGUGCGUUGGUUUACCUAUCUCAAU
rnacentral:ncRNA from 1 species